AACGUAGGAGACAAACGUUAUCCGGAGUUACUGGGCGUAAAGGGCGUGUAGGCGGUUAGUUAAGUCUGGCGUGAAAGCUCUCGGCUAAACCGGGAGAGGUCGUCGGAUACUGGCAAACUAGAGGAUGGUAGAGGCGUGUGGAAUUCCGGGUGUAGCGGUGGAAUGCGUAGAGAUCCGGAAGAACACCGGUGGCGAAGGCGGCCUGCUGGGCUAUGGCUGACACUGAGGCGCGACAGCGUGGGGAGCAAACAGG
rnacentral:rRNA from 1 species